rnacentral:lncRNA from 1 species
UCUUUUUUGAUGGAAAAUGGAAGUCAUUUGGGACUACCACCAGCCUUUGUUUCGACUAGCACACAGUAUAAAAUGAUUACACUUGACAUCGUAGCCAUUUUAUAAAGGGUCGUUGCAUGAAAACCAAUGGAAACCAGAUUCCCUUUUGUGAAUCUAUUACAAUUUGAUUGCAUCAUGCGAUAUGUGGGUGUCUUAUACUUUGCUUUGAGUAAUAAAAAUAGCAUUAUCAAAUGGGCAGUUAACAUUAUCAAAAGCAAUAAUGGAUUAAAAAAAAUCAAGAAAGUAUAUUCGUCUUCAUCCCCUUAUGUGAAAUCUUUAUAUGAAAAUAUUAGAUCUCCGAAGCUCCAGACGAAUCCAAUAUAAGGCUAACAUGGACAAUUACCAAUUUAACAUGAGGCGUGGGAGUGGUGCACUGUAGCAGUGCACUCCGCUAAUCACAGCCCAUCUCGAAUCUAUAAACGACCAGCUGUGAUUGACAGUAUGCACAGUCACAUCUCGUGGUGGUCCAUGGUAUUAGACAAGAAACUCAUAAGAUGACCUAAUAUGCCCCUUAGGACUCGUUUGAUUGACGAGAAGUGGAGGGGAGAAAAGGCAGUUCCUAAGAAGUGGGGAGGGGGUCUCUUGUUUGGUUAAAAUUUUAAGAGGAGAGAGUGAAAAAAGCUCUUCUCAUAGGAAGUCACUUUUCAUAUUUCAUGAAAAUUGAAAACCUAUGGGAGAAAUGGAUUUUCGCACUUCCUAUGGUAUGAAAAGUGAUGGUGCUUUUUUCUUUUCCAAAAUAUCCUUUUAAAAUCUAUGGCUAAGAUUUUAUAAAAU